rnacentral:rRNA from 1 species
UCAAGUAAUUAAGCGCAUACGGUGGAUGCCUUGGCAGCUAGAGGCGAUGAAGGACGUAGUAACUUGCGAUAAGCUUCGGGGAGCCGGUAAACAGGCUUUGAUCCGAAGAUUUCCGAAUGGGAAAACCCACCUAGGACAACCUAGGUAUCUUUAUCUGAAUUCAUAGGAUAUAGAGGCAAACGCGGAGAAUUGAAACAUCUUAGUAACCGCAGGAAAAGAAAUCAAUUGAGAUUCUGUGAGUAGCGGCGAGCGAAAGCGGAACAGCCCUUAAGCUUUUAUUUGGUUAGUGGAAUGGUCUGGAAAGGCCGGUCGUAGAAGGUGAUAACCCUGUACACGAAAACUAAAUAUAAGUGAAAUCGAGUAGGUCGGGACACGAGAAAUCUUGACUGAAUAUGGGGGGACCAUCCUCCAAGGCUAAAUACUCCUAGCUGACCGAUAGUGAACCAGUACCGUGAGGGAAAGGCGAAAAGUACCCCGGAGAGGGGAGUGAAAUAGAACCUGAAACCGUUUGCGUACAAGCUGUCGGAGCUUUUUAAGCCGUUCGCGGUUUAAAGAGUGACGGCGUACCUUUUGUAUAAUGGGUCAGCGAGUUAUUUUCUGUGGCAAGCUUAACUUUAUGAGGAAGGCGCAGGGAAACCGAGUCUUAAUAGGGCGACUUAGUCUCAGGUAAUAGACGCGAAACCGGACGAUCUAUCCAUGGCCAGGGUGAAGGUGAGGUAACACUUACUGGAGGCCCGAACCCACCUAUGUUGAAAAAUGGGGGGAUGAGCUGUGGAUCGGAGUGAAAGGCUAAUCAAGUUCGGAGAUAUCUCGUUCUCCCCGAAAUCUAUUUAGGUAGAGCCUCUUGUAUUACUGUUGGGGGUAGAGCACUGUUUCGGCUAGGGGGUCAUCCCGACUUACCAAACCGAUGCAAACUCCGAAUACCAACAAGUACAGCAAGGGAGACAGACUGCGGGUGCUAACGUCCGUAGUCGAGAGGGAAACAACCCAGACCGCCAGCUAAGGUCCCAAAUUGUGAUUAAGUGGGAAACGAUGUAGGAAGGCUUAAACAGCUAGGAGGUUGGCUUAGAAGCAGCCAUCCUUUAAAGAAAGCGUAACAGCUCACUAGUCGAGUCGGCCUGCGCGGAAGAUUUAACGGGGCUAAAUCACAAACCGAAGCUGCGGAUAAUUUACCGGUUACGGCCGGUUUAUUAUGGUAGGGGAGCGUUCUGUAAGCCGUUGAAGGCAAAUUGUAAGGUUUGCUGGAGGUAUCAGAAGUGAGAAUGCUGACAUGAGUAACGAUAAGAGAGGUGAAAAACCUCUCCGCCGAAAACCCAAGGUUUCCUGUCCAACGUUAAUCGGGACAGGGUGAGUCGACCCCUAAGGCGAGGGCGAAAGCCGUAGUCGAUGGGAAAUAGGUUAAUAUUCCUAUACUUCUUGUUACUGCGAUGGAGUGACGGAGAAGGCUAGGCCAGCAAGGUGAUGGAUAUCCUUGUUUAAGGUUGUAGGUUGGAAUUCUAGGUAAAUCCGGAAUUCUAAGACCGAGAACUGAUGACGAAUAUUUCUUUUAGAAAUACCAAGUGGUCGAUGCCAUGCUUCCAGGAAAAACUUCUAAGCUUCAGGUAGCAAGGAAUCGUACCGUAAACCGACACAGGUGGGUGGGUAGAGAAUACCAAGGCGCUUGAGAGAACUCUGGUGAAGGAACUAGGCAAAAUGGUACCGUAACUUCGGGAGAAGGUACGCCCUCAUUAGGUGAAGAGACUUGCUCUCAGAGCCGAAGAGGGUCGAAGAUACCAGGUGGCUGCGACUGUUUACUAAAAACACAGCACUCUGCUAACACGAAAGUGGACGUAUAGGGUGUGACGCCUGCCCGGUGCCGGAAGGUUAAUUGAUCGGGUUAGCCCUUGUGGCGAAGCUCGUGAUUGAAGCCCCGGUGAACGGCGGCCGUAACUAUAACGGUCCUAAGGUAGCGAAAUUCCUUGUCGGGUAAGUUCCGACCUGCACGAAUGGCGUAACGAUGGCCACGCUGUCUCCACCAGAGACUCAGUGAAAUUGAAUUUGCGGUGAAGAUGCCGUAUACGCGCGGCUAGACGGAAAGACCCCGUGCACCUUUACUAUAGCUUCACACUGGACUUUGAAUUUAUUUGUGUAGGAUAGGUGGGAGACUUUGAAGCGUAGGCGCCAGCUUACGUGGAGUCAUCCUUGAAAUACCACCCUUAUAACUUUGGAGUUCUAACUUUGAUCCGUUAUCCGGAUCGAGGACAGUGUGUGGUGGGUAGUUUGACUGGGGCGGUCUCCUCCCAAAGAGUAACGGAGGAGUGCGAAGGUAACCUCAGCACGGUCGGACAUCGUGCAAUGAGUGCAAUGGCAUAAGGUUGCUUAACUGCGAGACAGACAUGUCGAGCAGAUACGAAAGUAGGUCAUAGUGAUCUGGUGGUUCUGUAUGGAAGGGCCAUCACUCAACGGAUAAAAGGUACGCCGGGGAUAACAGGCUUAUACCCCCCAAGAGUUCACAUCGACGGGGGUGUUUGGCACCUCGAUGUCGGCUCAUCACAUCCUGGGGCUGGAGCAGGUCCCAAGGGUAUGGCUGUUCGCCAUUUAAAGUGGUACGCGAGCUGGGUUUAGAACGUCGUGAGACAGUUCGGUCCCUAUCUGCCGUGCGCGUUGGAAAUUUGAGAAGAGUCGCUCCUAGUACGAGAGGACCGGAGUGAACGAACCCCUGGUGUUCGGGUUGUCACGCCCGUGGCAUUGCCCGGUAGCUAUGUUCGGAAAGGAUAAUCGCUGAAAGCAUAUAAGCGAGAAGCCUCCUUCAAGACUAGAUUUCCCUGGACCUUCGGGUCCUUAAAGAGCCGUUCAAGACUAGGACGUUGAUAGGCGGGGUGUGUAAGCGCUGCGAGGCGUUGAGCUAACCCGUACUAAUUGCUCGAUAGGCUUGACCAU